GAUGAACGCUGGCGGCGUGCCUAAUACAUGCAAGUCGAGCGAACAGACGAGGAGCUUGCUCCUCUGACGUUAGCGGCGGACGGGUGAGUAACACGUGGAUAGCCUACCUAUAAGACUGGGAUAACUUCGGGAAACCGGAGCUAAUACCGGAUAAUAUAUUGAACCGCAUGGUUCAAUAGUGAAAGACGGUUUUGCUGUCACUUAUCGAUGGAUCCGCGCCGCAUUAGCUAGUUGGUAAGGUAACGGCUUACCAAGGCGACGAUGCGUAGCCGACCUGAGAGGGUGAUCGGCCACACUGGAACUGAGACACGGUCCAGACUCCUACGGGAGGCAGCAGUAGGGAAUCUUCCGCAAUGGGCGAAAGCCUGACGGAGCAACGCCGCGUGAGUGAUGAAGGUCUUCGGAUCGUAAAACUCUGUUAUUAGGGAAGAACAAAUGUGUAAGUAACUAUGCACGUCUUGACGGUACCUAAUCAGAAAGCCACGGCUAACUACGUG
rnacentral:rRNA from 1 species